CCUACGGGAGGCAGCAGUGAGGAAUAUUGGUCAAUGGUCGGAAGACUGAACCAGCCAUGCCGCGUGCAGGAAGAAGCAUCUAUGGUGUGUAAACUGCUUUUGUACGGGAAGAAACACUCCUACGUGUAGGAGCUUGACGGUACCGUAAGAAUAAGGAUCGGCUAACUCCAGUGCCAGCAGCCGCGGUAAU
rnacentral:rRNA from 1 species